GUUUCUUGUGGGAGAUCAUUUUGCCCCCUAAGGGAUGGUGGGGAUAGAGUAAAAUGAUCAAAAUACGUUUAGGAAAAUGAGUUGUAUACUCAACAUGAAGGCAUCCUCCAAUUAAGAUUGCUGAAAGCAGGAAACGAUUGAGAAAUGCAUGGCUUAAAAUGGCAGAUGCUUGAAGAGGAAACUGAGGGUGACCUGUCGACAACCUCCAGCAAUCGAAAGAAGUCAGCCUGAGUAGUAAUACAUCACCAGCCCUGGGAACAGAGGAUAGCGAAAUCAUUCAUCAUGGU
rnacentral:lncRNA from 1 species